GGGCGAGAGUAGUACUAGGAUGGGUGACCUCCUGGGAAGUCCUCGUGUUGCAUUCC
rfam:Triticum aestivum genome assembly, contig: Triticum_aestivum_CS42_TGACv1_scaffold_429646_5BS